rnacentral:rRNA from 11 species
UUUUGCAUAAACAAGAACCCUAAAGGCUUCAGAUCCCAUCUGAUCUUGGAAGCUAAGCAGUCAGCCCUGGUUAGUACUUGGAUGGGAGAUUGCCAAGAGAUACCAGGUUCUGUAAUCA